rnacentral:rRNA from 1 species
GUGGGGAAUCUUCCGCAAUGGACGAAAGUCUGACGGAGCAACGCCGCGUGAGUGAAGAAGGUUUUCGGAUUGUAAAGCUCUUUCGUUAGGGACGAACGUGCUCUUUGUGAAUAAUGAGGAGUAAUGACGGUACCUAAAUAAGAAGCCACGGCUAACUACGUGCCAGCAGCCGCGGUAAUACGUAGGUGGCAAGCGUUGUCCGGAAUUAUUGGGCGUAAAGCGCGCGCAGGCGGGAUAUCAAGUCUGUCUUAAAAGUGCGAGGCUCAACCUCGUGAGGGGACAGAAACUGGUAUUCUUGAGUGUCGGAGAGGAAAGUGGAAUUCCAAGUGUAGCGGUGAAAUGCGUAGAGAUUUGGAAGAACACCAGUGGCGAAGGCGACUUUCUGGACGAUGUCUGACGCUGAGGCGCGAAAGCUAGGGGAGCGAACGGGAUUAGAAACCCGGGUAGUCC